AACGAACGCUGGCGGCAUGCCUAACACAUGCAAGUCGAACGAGACCUUCGGGUCUAGUUGCGCACGGGUGCGUAACGCGUGGGAACCUGCCCUUAGGUUCGGAAUAACUCCCCGAAAGGGGUGCUAAUACCGGAUAAUGUCUUCGGACCAAAGAUUUAUCGCCUUUGGAUGGGCCCGCGUUGGAUUAGCUAGUUGGUAGGGUAAAAGCCUACCAAGGCGACGAUCCAUAGCUGGUCUGAGAGGAUGAUCAGCCACACUGGGACUGAGACACGGACCAGACUCCUACGGGAGGCAGCAGUGGGGAAUAUUGGACAAUGGGGGAAAGCCUGAUCCAGCAAUGCCGCGUAAGUGAUGAAGGCCUUAGGGUUGUAAAGCUCUUUUACCCGGGAUGAUAAUGACAGUACCGGGAGAAUAAGCUCCGGCUAACUCCGUG
rnacentral:rRNA from 1 species